rnacentral:rRNA from 1 species
AGUGAACGCUGGCGGUAGGCCUAACACAUGCAAGUCGAACGGCAGCACAGUAAGAGCUUGCUCUUACGGGUGGCGAGUGGCGGGCGGGUGCUGAAUACAUCGGAAUCUACUUUUUCGUGGGGGAUAACGUAGGGAAACUUACGCUAAUACCGCAUACGACCUACGGGUGAAAGCAGGGGAUCUUCGGACCUUGCGCGAUUCAAUGAGCCGAUGUCGGAUUAGCUAGUUGGCGGGGUAAAGGCCCACCAAGGCGACGAUCCGUAGCUGGUCUGAGAGGAUGAUCAGCCACACUGGAACUGAGACACGGUCCAGACUCCUACGGGAGGCAGCAGUGGGGAAUAUUGGACAAUGGGCGAAAGCCUGAUCCAGCCAUACCGCGUGGGUGAAGAAGGUCUUCGGAUUGUAAAGCACUUUUGUUGGGAAAGAAAAGCAGUAGGUUAAUACCUCGCUGUUCUGACGUUACCCAAAGAAUAAGCACCGGCUAACUUCGUG